AGCAGUGGGGAAUCUUCCGCAAUGGGCGAAAGCCUGACGGAGCAACGCCGCGUGAGUGAGGAAGGCCUUCGGGUCGUAAAACUCUGUCUUCAGGGAAGAAAAAAAUGACGGUACCUGAGGAGGAAGCCCCGGCUAACUACGUGCCAGCAGCCGCGGUAAAACGUAGGGGGCGAGCGUUGUCCGGAAUUACUGGGCGUAAAGGGCGCGUAGGCGGUUAUUUAAGUCAGAGGUGAAAACUACCGGCUCAACCGGUAGCCUGCCUUUGAAACUGGAUGACUUGAGGGCAGGAGAGGGGAGUGGAAUUCCCAGUGUAGCGGUGAAAUGCGUAGAUAUUGGGGGGAACACCAGUGGCGAAGGCGGCUCUCUGGCCUGUUUCUGACGCUGAGGCGCGAAAGCGUGGGGAGCAAACGGGAUUAGAUACCCCGGUAGUCCACGCCGUAAACGAUGGGUGCUAGGUGUAGGAGGUAUCGACCCCUUCUGUGCCGUAGUUAACACAAUAAGCACCCCGCCUGGGGAGUACGGCCGCAAGGUUGAAACUCAAAAGAAUUGACGG
rnacentral:rRNA from 1 species